ACGGGUGAGUAACACGUAGGCAACCUGCCCUCAAGCUUGGGACAACUACCGGAAACGGUAGCUAAUACCGAAUACUUGUUUUCUUCGCCUGAAGAGAACUGGAAAGACGGAGCAAUCUGUCACUUGGGGAUGGGCCUGCGGCGCAUUAGCUAGUUGGUGAGGUAACGGCUCACCAAGGCGACGAUGCGUAGCCGACCUGAGAGGGUGAUCGGCCACACUGGGACUGAGACACGGCCCAGACUCCUACGGGAGGCAGCAGUAGGGAAUCUUCCGCAAUGGGCGAAAGCCUGACGGAGCAAUGCCGCGUGAGUGAUGAAGGUUUUCGGAUCGUAAAGCUCUGUUGCCAGGGAAGAACGCUUGGGAAAGUAACUGCUCUCAAGGUGACGGUACCUGAGAAGAAAGCCCCGGCUAACUACGUGCCAGCAGCCGCGGUAAUACGUAGGGGGCAAGCGUUGUCCGGAAUUAUUGGGCGUAAAGCGCGCGCAGGCGGUCAUGUAAGUCUGGUGUUUAAUCCCGGGGCUCAACCCCGGAUCGCACUGGAAACUGCGUGACUUGAGUGCAGAAGAGGAGAGUGGAAUU
rnacentral:rRNA from 1 species